rnacentral:rRNA from 1 species
CGAGUGAAGAGGGAAGAGCUCAAAUUUGAAAUCUGGCAGUGUUUUGCUGUCCGAGUUGUAAUCUAGAGAAGUGCUGCCCGUGCUGGACCAUGUACAAGUCUCCUGGAAUGGAGCGUCACAGAGGGUGAGAAUCCCGUCUUUGACAUGGACUGCCAGUGCAUUUGUGGUGUGCUCUCAAAGAGUCGAGUUGUUUGGGAAUGCAGCUCUAAAUGGGUGGUAAACUCCAUCUAAAGCUAAAUAUUGGCGAGAGACCGAUAGCGAACAAGUACCGUGAGGGAAAGAUGAAAAGAACUUUGGAAAGAGAGUUAAACAGUAUGUGAAAUUGUUGAAAGGGAAACGCUUAAAGUCAGUCGUGUCGGCCAGGGAUCAACUCAGUAUUAUCUGCUGGGUGUAUUUCCUGAUCUGAUGGGCCAACAUCAGUUUUGACUGCUGGAAAAGGACAGAGGGAAUGUGGCACCUUUGGGUGUGUUAUAGCUCUCUGUCGGAUGCAGUGGUUGGGACUGAGGAAAGCAGCAUGCCGCAAGGCCGGGUCGUUUCGACCACGUUCAUGCUGAGGAUGUUGGCAUAAUGGCUUUAAUCGACCCGUCUUGAAACACGGACCAAGGAGUCUAACAUGCCUGCGAGUGUUUGGGUGGCAAACCCGAGUGCGGAAUGAAAGUGAAAGGUUGAGAUCCCUGUCAUGGGGAGCAUCGACGCCCGGACCUGAGCUCUUGCAAAGGAUCUGCGGUAGAGCAUGUAUGUUAGGACCCGAAAGAUGGUGAACUAUGCCUGAAUAGGGUGAAGCCAGAGGAAACUCUGGUGGAGGCUCGUAGCGAUUCUGACGUGCAAAUCGAUCGUCGAAUUUGG